GACCAGGACUAUUUGGUAUGCAUCGCUCUGGGGUUGUGGCACAGGUCAUAUCUGAAAUGUCAUGAUCAGGGAUCAACCUGUGUUGACUGGCUUGGU